CCAAUUCUUAGUUUGUCCCUUGUCAUGUGAUGUAAGAGGUUUUAAAUUCUAUAAUUUCUUUUUUUCUCAUUCAUUCCAAGUUGUCUCAGUUAUAGUUUUUUCAUCGUCUAGGUAUAGUGUGUCCUCAUUGUUUUAAUUGAUUGCAUUCUUUUCAUCAAUUUCACGCUGAUACAGAUGUUCUCUUUUUAGUGGUUCAAUCAUUUUGUGCAUAUGGUUGGAGUUGCUUGCAUGAAGGGCUAUAUAUCAACAACAUCAAAGCUUGGUUUCUCCCUUCUCUCUUUAGAUCUAUAUUUUUUUUGGAUUCUUAAUAUCUAUAUUUAUGUGCGUUAGAUUUUUUUUUUGUUUGGUUAGAGUUUUCAUUGUUUUUUUUUUCUUUCGUUUGGUCUGAAAGAUUCAGAAUCAAAUCGGUUUUGUUACAUGCAAUUUGAAAUUAUGGAUAAU
rnacentral:lncRNA from 1 species